UACAGAGGGUGCGAGCGUUAAUCGGAAUUACUGGGCGUAAAGCGUGCGUAGACGGUUAUUUAAGUCGGGUGUGAAAGCCCCGGGCUCAACCUGGGAAUUGCAUUCGAGACUGAAUAGCUAGGGUACGGUAGAGGGAAGUGGAAUUUCCGGUGUAGCGGUGAAAUGCGUAGAUAUCGGGAGGAACACCAGUGGCGAAGGCGGCUUUCUGGGCCUUACCUGACGCUGAGACGCGAAAGCGUGGGGAGCGAACCGG
rnacentral:rRNA from 1 species